rnacentral:rRNA from 1 species
GAGAGUUAAACAGUACGUGAAAUUGUUGAAAGGGAAACGAUUGAAGCCAGUCGUACCUUCGGGUAAUCAGCCUUUUCGGGUGCGAUUCUGUGGGGUUUGAUGAGCUUAACACCUUCAUGCUCUGCAUAUUCGUGCUCUUGGGUGUACUUGCCCGUGUGGUUGGUUAACAUCAAUUUUGGUGGUCAUAAAAUGACUGGAGGAAUGUAGCUUCGAUCUUGUAUUGAAGUGUUAUAGCCUUCGGUAGAUGUGAUGAUCGAGAUUGAGGAUUGCAACGGAUACCUUUCGGGGCUACCUGUCUGAUCUCUGAUCGUUGCUCUGGUGCCGAAAGCUUGCUUACGGUUAUCAAAGUCGAUGGUCAAUAGGUUAGAAUGGGUUAAAUUCGUUAAGGAUGUUGACGUAAUGGCUUUAAACGA